CAGGAGAUAUAUAGGUUACAUUCUAACAGAGCUUGUUCUCAUACCCAAACUAGGCUCAGUAUUCCCACCAAUCCAAGCUGAAAAGAAAUCGGAUGGGAAGGAUGUGGGGGCAAAAUCCCGGGGAAUGGCAGUAUCAGGAUUGGAACACAGAUCAACAACCCAUUCGUUGCAUAAUGACAUGACUAGCUGUAUAGAAUUGCGUAGCAUCCUCAUUCCAUUAGUGGGUUCAGUCAUCAACUGGUGCUGCUGCUAUGGUCUGGAGUCGAUCGAGAUGGCCAUCUCACCUGAGAAGGCUGGCUCUCACGACAGAGAUUUUAUGGCCCCAGUGGGGAAACCAGGUGGAAUUGUUCAGUCAAAGACAAAAAGCAAGACAAUUUUGAAGAUGAAAAAUGAUAUGCAGGCCCAUGAGGACCAGGAAAUUUCCAUGAACUAAGGAAGAGAAAAAAAUUGUAGACUGCAAACAAUAUCACUGAUCUCUUACCUGAUCUACAGAUAUCUCACAGAUGAAAAAGAGCAAUACAAUUUCCACAGGCCUGACAAGGUUGCCAAGUCAACCUUCCACUUUCAGAAUCAUCCCUGGAGAAAGAAGCCGGUAGAAUGGAAUAAAUGUGGACUGAGAAUGAGAGUUCUAAGUUCA
rnacentral:lncRNA from 1 species